CCUACGGGCGGCUGCAGUCGAGGAUCUUCGGCAAUGGGGGAAACCCUGACCGAGCGACGCCGCGUGGGCGACGAAGGCCUUCGGGUUGUAAAGCCCUGUCGAGGGGGAGAAAGCCUUAACCGGGUGAUCUAUCCCUGGAGGAAGCACGGGCUAAGUUCGUGCCAGCAGCCGCGGUAAGACGAACCGUGCGAACGUUGUUCGGAAUCACUGGGCUUAAAGGGCGCGUAGGCGGGUUGCCGCGUCCGGGGUGAAAGCCCACGGCUCAACCGUGGGGCGGCCCCGGGUACGGGCGGCGUCGAGGAGGGUAGGGGCAUGCGGAACGCUGGGUGGAGCGGUGAAAUGCGUUGAUAUCCAGAGGAACUCCGGUGGCGAAGGCGGCAUGCUGGACCCUUCCUGACGCUGAGGCGCGAAAGCCAGGGGAGCGAACGGGAUUAGAUACCCCGGUAGUC
rnacentral:rRNA from 1 species